GAUGAACGCUGGCGGCGUGCUUAACACAUGCAAGUCGAACGGUGAAGGAGAGCUUGCUCUUUGGAUCAGUGGCGAACGGGUGAGUAACACGUGAGCAAUCUGCCCCUGACUCUGGGAUAACAGUUGGAAACAGCUGCUAAUACCGGAUAUGAGACGUGACCGCAUGGUCGACGUUUGGAAAGAAUUUCGGUCAGGGAUGAGCUCGCGGCCUAUCAGCUUGUUGGUGAGGUAAUGGCUCACCAAGGCGUCGACGGGUAGCCGGCCUGAGAGGGUGACCGGCCACACUGGGACUGAGACACGGCCCAGACUCCUACGGGAGGCAGCAGUGGGGAAUAUUGCACAAUGGGCGAAAGCCUGAUGCAGCAACGCCGCGUGAGGGACGACGGCCUUCGGGUUGUAAACCUCUUUUAGCAGGGAAGAAGCGAAAGUGACGGUACCUGCAGAAAAGGCGCCGGCUAACUACGUGCCAGCAGCCGCGGUAAUACGUAGGGCGCAAGCGUUAUCCGGAAUUAUUGGGCGUAAAGAGCUCGUAGGCGGUUUGUCGCGUCUGCUGUGAAAACUGGAGGCUCAACCUCCAGCCUGCAGUGGGUACGGGCAGACUAGAGUGCGGUAGGGGAGAUUGGAAUUCCUGGUGUAGCGGUGGAAUGCGCAGAUAUCAGGAGGAACACCGAUGGCGAAGGCAGAUCUCUGGGCCGUAACUGACGCUGAGGAGCGAAAGGGUGGGGAGCAAACAGGCUUAGAUACCCUGGUAGUCCACCCCGUAAACGUUGGGAACUAGUUGUGGGGUCCAUUCCACGGAUUCCGUGACGCAGCUAACGCAUUAAGUUCCCCGCCUGGGGAGUACGGCCGCAAGGCUAAAACUCAAAGGAAUUGACGGGGACCCGCACAAGCGGCGGAGCAUGCGGAUUAAUUCGAUGCAACGCGAAGAACCUUACCAAGGCUUGACAUAUACGAGAACGGGCUAGAAAUAGUCAACUCUUUGGACACUCGUAAACAGGUGGUGCAUGGUUGUCGUCAGCUCGUGUCGUGAGAUGUUGGGUUAAGUCCCGCAACGAGCGCAACCCUCGUUCUAUGUUGCCAGCACGUAAUGGUGGGAACUCAUGGGAUACUGCCGGGGUCAACUCGGAGGAAGGUGGGGAUGACGUCAAAUCAUCAUGCCCCUUAUGUCUUGGGCUUCACGCAUGCUACAAUGGCCGGUACAAAGGGCUGCAAUACCGUAAGGUGGAGCGAAUCCCAAAAAGCCGGUCCCAGUUCGGAUUGAGGUCUGCAACUCGACCUCAUGAAGUCGGAGUCGCUAGUAAUCGCAGAUCAGCAACGCUGCGGUGAAUACGUUCCCGGGUCU
rnacentral:rRNA from 1 species